AUACUUACCUGGACGGGGUCUAUGGGCGAUCAUGUAGGUCCAUGGCCUAGGUUGGUGACUUUCAUUGCACUUUGGAGGGGUGCCCGCCUAAGAUCAGCCCAAGAGGUUGAGUCUACAUCAUAAUUUGUUGCUGAGGGGGCAUGCGUUCGCGCAGCCCCUGC
rnacentral:snRNA from 1 species